rnacentral:rRNA from 1 species
AGUGAACGCUGGCGAUAGGCCUAACACAUGCAAGUCGAACGGCAGCACAGUAAGAGCUUGCUCUUACGGGUGGCGAGUGGCGGACGGGUGAGGAAUACAUCGGAAUCUACUUUUUCGUGGGGGAUAACGUAGGGAAACUUACGCUAAUACCGCAUACGACCUACGGGUGAAAGCAGGGGAUCUUCGGACCUUGCGCGAUUGAAUGAGCCGAUGUCGGAUUAGCUAGUUGGCGGGGUAAAGGCCCACCAAGGCGACGAUCCGUAGCUGGUCUGAGAGGAUGAUCAGCCACACUGGAACUGAGACACGGUCCAGACUCCUACGGGAGGCAGCAGUGGGGAAUAUUGGACAAUGGGCGCAAGCCUGAUCCAGCCAUACCGCGUGGGUGAAGAAGGCCUUCGGGUUGUAAAGCCCUUUUGUUGGGAAAGAAAAGCAGCAGGUUAAUACCCCGCUGUUCGGACGGUACCCAAAGAAUAAGCACCGGCUAACUUCGU